CAGUCGCCGCGGUAAUACGAAGGGGGCUAGCGUUGUUCGGAAUUACUGGGCGUAAAGGGCGCGUAGGCGGCCAUUCAAGUUAGAUGUGAAAGCCCUGGGCUCAACCUAGGAAUUGCAUUUGAUACUGUUUGGCUUGAGUUCGGGAGAGGUGAGUGGAAUUCCCAGUGUAGAGGUGAAAUUCGUAGAUAUUGGGAAGAACACCAAUGGCGAAGGCGGCUCACUGGACCGACACUGACGCUGAGGCGCGAAAGCGUGGGGAGCAAACAGGAUUAGAUACCCCCGUAGUCCCUGUCUCUUAUAC
rnacentral:rRNA from 1 species